rnacentral:lncRNA from 1 species
GGUGUGCUCAGAGGGUUCCUCACUCUGGUGCAGCCACACUGAGGGGUUCUUGCCCUGCUGCUGCUUCCCAGGGGAUUCUCCCUUGGCUGCACUGAUUCCUGACUGUUCUCAGGUACUCCAGAACUUUCUAUGUUGUUGUAACUGAGGAGGCGCUGAAACUUUCCUGUCCAUCAUUUUAGUGCUGAUUUUUGUUCCCUCCAUGAGUCAGGGUGUGUUGUACAGCUGGGUGUCAGAAUAAGGGAUUGCAGCUUUGAGUAAGGAAUUAAAUCCCUCUUGUCUGCUCCUCUCUUUUCUCACUU